AUAUUACAGGCCUCAGGUCUAUGAUGACAAGGUUAUUAAAAUAAAAUGCAAAGUGGAUAUUUCCCAUCAGGUACCAUUUUCUGCCCUGUCUUCCAACCAUUCUGGUCCCUUACCUGGUACUUCUGGGCAACCUCCUCCAUGAGUAACGUGUGAUGACCACGGUGCUCCUGAGACCGCUCACAAAGCCAGCAAAUGACCUUCCCAUCUUCCUCACAGAAGAGUAGGAGUUUCUCUCCAUGGUGUGCACAGUGAUCUAUCUUCUGCCUCUCCUCUGGGUUCGACCUGACCUCCCUGAGCCUCUCCACUAUGUUGGACACAUGCCGAUUGGGCCGCAGGUUCCCAGGCUGAUACUUCCCACUAAUCCUGCAAAUCAAGAGACAGAAGAGUCUGCCUCAAGUAGUUCCUGAGAAGACCUGAGUGGACAGCAAGGGUGCCAAACUCCAGGUCUCAGUUUCCUCCCCCAAACCGUAUCUGAGAGGCGAGAUCACAUCCCCUGGGAAAAGCCUGACUAUGUUUCAGAGAUAAUCAAGUCGCCAGGAGCAGAAAAAACAGGGAAGACAACCUGAUGGCCCACAGCUGCCUCCUGCUAAUUACUCCACUCCAUGGCUGUUUCUGCUUCAACUGACAAAAAUAACUAUUUUUUUUUCCUUCCUCUUGGUUCCCGUAAAAACUGACCAGCCUCUUAUCCUCGGUGCAGGCAUCUCCCUUGUCUUUUUUGGGUGCCUCGCCAUGCAACUCCCCUCUCUCUUCUUCCAUUUAUUUCCCUUUUCUCUCUCCUACUC